AGUGAACGCUGGCGGUAGGCCUAACACAUGCAAGUCGAACGGCAGCACAGUAAGAGCUUGCUCUUACGGGUGGCGAGUGGCGGACGGGUGAGGAAUACAUCGGAAUCUACUUUUUCGUGGGGGAUAACGUAGGGAAACUUACGCUAAUACCGCAUACGACCUACGGGUGAAAGCAGGGGAUCUUCGGACCUUGCGCGAUUGAAUGAGCCGAUGUCGGAUUAGCUAGUUGGCGGGGUAAAGGCCCACCAAGGCGACGAUCCGUAGCUGGUCUGAGAGGAUGAUCAGCCACACUGGAACUGAGACAAGGUCCAGACUCCUACGGGAGGCAGCAGUGGGGAAUAUUGGACAAUGGGCGCAAGCCUGAUCCAGCCAUACCGCGUGGGUGAAGAAGGCCUUCGGGUUGUAAAGCCCUUUUGUUGGGAAAGAAAAGCAGCAGGUUAAUACCCCGCUGCUCUGACGGUACCCAAAGAAUAAGCACCGGCUAACUUCGUG
rnacentral:rRNA from 1 species